UUCAUAAUAAGUGUUUUAUGGCACUUUUUAAAUCCAUAUCCACCUUGUGUGCAAUGUCAGUCGAUCUUCUUCAUGGAGAUCGACCAAACAUCAACCUUUAUCUUUUAAACUCUUUGUCUGAAAAAUAUUAUGAUAUAACAAUUCAAAAUA
rnacentral:misc_RNA from 1 species